CCUACGGGCGGCAGCAGUGGGGAAUAUUGCACAAUGGGGGAAACCCUGAUGCAGCGACGCCGCGUGAGUGAAGAAGCGUUUCGGCGCGUAAAGCUCUGUCAGCGGGGAAGAAACACGGUUCGCGAGAGCCGCGGACGGUACCCGACCAAGAAGCAUCGGCUAACUCCGUGCCAGCAGCCGCGGUAAUACGGAGGAUGCGAGCGUUAUCCGGAUUUAUUGGGUUUAAAGGGUGCGUAGGCGGUCCGUUAAGUCAGCGGUAAAAUUGCGGGGCUCAACCCCGUCGAGCCGUUGAAACUGGCAGACUUGAGUUGGCGAGAAGUACGCGGAAUGCGCGGUGUAGCGGUGAAAUGCAUAGAUAUCGCGCAGAACUCCGAUUGCGAAGGCAGCGUACCGGCGCCAGACUGACGCUGAGGCACGAAAGCGUGGGGAUCGAACAGGAUUAGAUACCCUUGUAGUC
rnacentral:rRNA from 1 species